AUACGGAGGAUGCGAGCGUUAUCCGGAUUCAUUGGGUUUAAAGGGUGCGCAGGCGGACGAUUAAGUCAGCGGUGAAAAGUAUGCGCUCAACGCAUAUCGUGCCGUUGAAACUGGUUGACUAGGAUACGUAUGCUGUGGGAGGAAUGUGUAGUGUAGCGGUGAAAUGCAUAGAUAUUACACAGAACACCGAUUGCGAAGGCAUCUCACAAAUACGUCAUUGACGCUGAGGCACGAAAGUGCGGGGAUCAAACAGGAUUAGAUACCCUGGUAAUCCGCACAGUAAACGAUGAUAACUCGCUGUUGGUUCGGAAGAAUCAGUGGCCAAGCGAAAGCGAUAAGUUAUCCACCUGGGGAGUACGACCGCAAGGUUGAAACUCAAAUGAAUUGACGGGG
rnacentral:rRNA from 1 species